AAAUGUAGCAAACAUGACAAGAAAAACAAAGAUUGAAAGAAAACGUUUAUUCCCAUAAUAAACACAUACAGUACAUCAUCAACAAAAUGUACAAAGUGCAAUAUGCAUUGAAACUACAGCAAAUCUGCAGUACAAAGGACAAAAUUACUGCAUACUUAAUAGCGAUAACAAUGAUGACCGGAUGAGGAGCGAGCGCUCCCUAUUUGGUGAGCAUCGCAAUUUAACAGCAUUGCUAUUUGACAAAAAAAGAAAAAAGAAAAAAGGAGGCUCAAUAACCAACUAGAGGAAAGUGAAUCUACAGUAUCAGCAUCAACAAAUGUGACAUUUAAUAUUGAUCCUCAAUGCAAAACUUUGGUUAUCACUUCAUACUCGAAUAGCAUCAAAUCCUCCCUCGCUCCUUUGGAAAGGAAAACCCUCCAAAACUUGGCGACAACUUUGAUGAGUUUGCAGUGUCUUUCUCUUUAAUUAAAAGGAAAUAAUGCCAAAUAUCAAUGAUCCUUUUCUAUAUUCCCUAAUACAACAAUAAAAUGUAGGAGUGUAUGACAGGAAAAUGUCUGGCAGCUUUAAAAUGUGCCCAUGUAACCCCUUGGCCUCUGCUCUAACUGGCAACAUUAUCAAAUGGGAGUCAACACAGAACAAUGCCUCUAGUGCUUCUGGGUAAGGCACUUGAUGUUGAUGACACAAGACCAAUAACAUUUCAUCUGUAAUCUUGGAUUUGACCUCAAUAUGGCAUCAGACACAAAAUGGCAAAGACUUGGUUUUUAUAUUCAGCCCACAGAAGGAAGAUUAAAUAGUGUUGAGGAGACUCGUUCAAUCAACCAAAAAUCGUUCAGGCAAGCAUCUCCUACAGGACAGGGGAACCGAUUCAAGUUGACUUUCAGAUGCAAGUACCAUGAACUUCCAGAAAUUCUGUAAAUGUGACCCACAUACAUAUUUACAUACAGUGUAUUGCUGUGUGUGUAGAGGUGGAGACUGUGUAUACUAUGAGCCUGCUCAUGUUUUUAACAUUAAAGCACACAAACACACACACUCUGAAAGAGUUUGUGUUCAUAAAUAGUUCACAGUAGCGGUGUAGCCGCUGUGCAAGGCACCGCUCACUCACACACACUCGCAAACUUCACAUUUCUGUUGCUCAAACUCGAGGUGGUAGCAUAGAUGCAUGUACGAAAUCAGUUUUAAAAAACAUUGGGAAAGUAUGCUGCAUAAUAAACCUCAAGUACUUCAACUCAAGCUGAUUGGUAACUAAAGGCCAGUUGACACAUGGACAUGAGCAAAUGUCAUUUAUCAAAGCUUUUGUGAUCACAUAAAUUGCUAUGGCAAGUGUGCUCAGACUAAAACACACAGAAACGGGUAUCUCACUGUCAAGAACUAUGUCUGGGACAAAUUUCAACGCAAAUAUCAAAUAAAAUCUAUAAAAUCACGUUUUGCUUCAAUGUAUAAAAUGAUUCCUAUUUUUAAAAUUCAUUUUCAAUUCAAAUAAUGUAACUUCUUUUUAUUAUAUUGCAAAGUGAUAUAUUAGCAAUUUAAUAUUUAGAUUUAAAAAUAUUUAUAAAUCAUUGUAAUGGCUUUUAUUUUAUGCCAGUUUAAAAACGAUUGCACUUCAUUCAUGAGAAUCUAAAGGGACUCAUCACUGAGAGUAAUGGGAAUUGCUCACAGGAAAUAAAACAAACUAAAUAAAAAAACAAUAAAAGAUUAUAUAAAAUGUUAAUGGUUCUAAAAAAAAAUAUUGUUUCAGUUUCAUACAUCCGAAAUAUGAUUUCUUAUUUUUUCUCUUUUGUGAGAUUCACCCAUACAGAUACACACACUCACAGUUGAACAGUUGUUGAAACCAAGCCACAUCUUUGACUUGUGAGUGUUGUUUGAUCUGGUUUCGGAGCGUAGAUUUAAUUCAAAAGACAAUCUACCUUCCACUGAUUUUGAUUGUGGAAAACUGACAGCAAUUACAAACAGGACAAUGAGUUAGAAGAGUAGAGCCACAGCAUGGUGGGAAUCAGCAAACUGCCUAAACAAGCCACUGCCUCUGGAACAAAGGUAACAAGUCUUGAAAAAUAACAGUCGUCGUUCUAUACCUGGGUAAAACACGGAGCAGAGAGGUGCUAGAGAAUCUACAACGGAGGAGCUCCCUUUGA
rnacentral:lncRNA from 1 species